rnacentral:rRNA from 1 species
UGAGGAAUAUUGGUCAAUGGGCGUUAGCCUGAACCAGCCAAGUAGCGUGAAGGAUGAAGGCUCUAUGGGUCGUAAACUUCUUUUAUAUAAGAAUAAAGUGCAGUAUGUAUACUGUUUUGUAUGUAUUAUAUGAAUAAGGAUCGGCUAACUCCGUGCCGGCAGCCGCGGUAAUACGGAGGAUCCGAGCGUUAUCCGGAUUUAUUGGGUUUAAAGGGAGCGUAGGUGGACUGGUAAGUCAGUUGUGAAAGUUUGCGGCUCAACCGUAAAAUUGCAGUUGAUACUGUCAGUCUUGAGUACAGUAGAGGUGGGCGGAAUUCGUGGUGUAGCGGUGACAUGCUUAGCUAUCACGAAGAACUCCGAUUGCGAAGGCAGCUCACUGGACUGCAACUGACACUGAUGCUCGAAAGUGUGGGUAUCAAACAGG